rnacentral:rRNA from 1 species
AUGAACGCUGGCGGCGUGCCUCAUACCUGCAAGUCGAGCGAACGGACGAGAAGCUUGCUUCUCUGAUGUUAGCGGCGGACGGGUGAGUAACACGUGGAUAACCUACCUAUAAGACUGGGAUAACUUCGGGAAACCGGAGCUAAUACCGGAUAAUAUUUUGAACCGCAUGGUUCAAAAGUGAAAGACGGUCUUGCUGUCACUUAUAGAUGGAUCCGCGCUGCAUUAGCUAGUUGGUAAGGUAACGGCUUACCAAGGCAACGAUGCAUAGCCGACCUGAGAGGGUGAUCGGCCACACUGGAACUGAGACACGGUCCAGACUCCUACGGGAGGCAGCGGUAGGGAAUCUUCCGCAAUGGGCGAAAGCCUGACGGAGCAACGCCGCGUGAGUGAUGAAGGUCUUCGGAUCGUAAAACUCUGUUAUUAGGGAAGAACAUAUGUGUAAGUAACUGUGCACAUCUUGACGGUACCUAAUCAGAAAGCCACGGCUAACUACGUG